AGAGUUUGAUCAUGGCUCAGAAUCAACGCUGGCGGCGCGCCUAACACAUGCAAGUCGAACGAGAAAGUGGAGCAAUCCAUGAGUACAGUGGCGUACGGGUGAGUAACACGUGGGUAAUCUACCUCUUUGUGUGGAAUAACCCUGGGAAACCGGGGCUAAUACCGCAUAAGCUCGAGAGAGGAAAGCAGCAAUGCGCUGAGAGAGGAGCCCGCGGCCGAUUAGCUAGUUGGCAGGGUAAAAGCCUACCAAGGCAAAGAUCGGUAGCCGGCCUGAGAGGGCACACGGCCACACUGGCACUGAAACACGGGCCAGACUCCUACGGGAGGCAGCAGUGGGGAAUCUUGCACAAUGGGGGAAACCCUGAUGCAGCGACGCCGCGUGAGCGAUGAAGCCCCUCGGGGUGUAAAGCUCUUUCGGCAGGGAAGAUGAUGACGGUACCUGCAGAAGCAGCUGCGGCUAACUACGUGCCAGCAGCCGCGGUAAUACGUAGGCAGCAAGCGUUGUUCGGAGUUACUGGGCGUAAAGGGUGUGUAGGCGGUCUUUUAAGUUUGGUGUGAAAUCUCCCGGCUCAACUGGGAGGGUGCGUCGAAUACUGAAAGACUAGAGUGCGGGAGAGGAUAGUGGAAUUCCUGGUGUAGCGGUGAAAUGCGUAGAUAUCAGGAGGAACACCGGUGGUGUAGACGGCUAUCUGGACCGUAACUGACGCUGAGACACGAAAGCGUGGGUAGCAAACAGGAUUAGAUACCCUGGUAGUCCACGCCCUAAACGAUGCAUAUUUGGUGUGGGCAGUUCAGUCUGUCCGUGCCGGAGCUAACGCGUUAAAUAUGCCGCCUGGGGAGUACAGUCGCAAGGCUGAAACUCAAAGGAAUUGACGGGGGCCCGCACAAGCGGUGGAGCAUGUGGUUCAAUUCGACGCAACGCGAAGAACCUUACCUGGGCUCGAACGGCUGGUUAACGCCGGUGGAAACAUCGGUACUCCGCAAGGAGGUCCAGUCGAGGUGCUGCAUGGCUGUC
rnacentral:rRNA from 1 species